AGGCCUUUGCUCUCACCUCUUCUGAUGGUGACCAUCUGUCCCUGUGAGGUUUUGUGUGCAAAGAAACUAUCCUGUGUUGGGAGUUAAUGCUGCUCUAUGUUAUCCCUCAAUCGGCCGUUUAAAUAGAGGACUGUUUUCCAUUUAUUCCUGCCCUGCAGAUAUAGCUGUGUUUAUAAGCAGUUUGGGACGUUCCACUGGGUGUUGUUGGCAAAGCUAAUGUUAAUAUCAGAUGCUGUAUAUUAGAAAAGUGUGUAAUGCAUCUCAGCUGCUGAGGUCUCUAUGUUAGUGUUUCAAGCUUCAAGGAAAUAAAGGUAGGGGGAAGCAUGCAGUAAAAGGAAAUUAUAGCUGAAAGCAGCUCAUUUUUAAGUGAAGAAGUGGCACUGUAGUGGUGAAGCCCCUGAGCAGGAGUGCAAGAGCCAAAGGAAGAUGCUGAAGGCUCAUGGGGACUCUGCCCUCUCACUGUGUCUUGUUCCCUGCCAUGACGAUGUGGAAUGAGGUUGCUUGGAGGUGUUGUGUGCUGUAGGUGGAAAAUCAAACCAGCCUUGAGGCUGCAAUGGCUGAGAUGGCACUGAAAUUAUUUUCAUAAAUAAUGAGACAAAUACUUGCCCAAGUGCAGGAAAUAAGUGCUUGAGGCUGAUGUUGUAAUCACUAGCAAACCUAUACUAAAAAGGCACUAGGAAAUGCCCUCGGGUUUUAUGUCUGUUUCUGUAGCCAAUGGAGUCUUUUCUUCAGCUGCCAGAAUUAAAGAUUCAACCUAUAAUCAAGCUUCAUCGAUACUACAAGUAGCUAUAAAGAUUGUGAGCACCAAAUUACAGCUGUGCUUUCUUUUCCACAGCCUGCACUGAGUUCCAGUGAUCUGGUUUUACUGACACCAGUGCUCACAGCUGAUGAAAGCUGCAUUUACAGAUGAAUUUCACUCAUUUUACUGCACUUGAUCUUUGUGCAGUUGUUCUGGGUCUGGUGGGUAAUUGUGAAUAAAAAUAGCUGGUAAAACUGUACAAAUGAAGGCACAGCAUUAGGCGUGCAGGGUCAAAUUAAUGUUCUUUGAUCUUUUGUAGGAUGACUUAUAGUUGAAAAUACACUUCUGACCUUUUCUCUGGCACUGAGAAUAUUGCUGUAUCACCACCUAAUGGGAAAUCUGGACAGUUUAUGGGUACUAAAGAAAAGUGAUGCUAAGGGAUAUGAAAAAAUAGCAAGAAAGAACCAUGCUGUCAGCAUGGCAAAAGCUGCUCAGUCUCAUGGAGAAUGAGAAGAAAUUAAGAUUAGAAAAAUUGCCCUUUGUGCAAUGGCAUUUUUUCUGUAAUGUUUACUGCUGGGGGAAGCCGUGGAUGCCCUUUCUCUGGAAGGGCUCAUGGCCAAAACCGUUCUAUGACUGGGACAUUGCUUUAUGGGUUUUUUUAGGGUUUUUUCCCCAAUUUUGAGUCUUCUCUGCCCUCCCUCUCAUCCUCCCAGUCCCAAUUUUUAUGUGGAAGGAAAAGUUAAGACACAUUCUUCAGUGAGAAUUACUGCUUUCGUCUAUUCUCUAGAGCUUUGCAAAGUGGGCUGUGAGAGCAUCAUUAAAUAUAAAGUAGCAAAGUAACAAGUACAAAGUAUCAUAAAUAUAAAAUGAAACCUUCUUAUGGCUACUAUAACAAAAUUCAAAUUUAUAACAGAAAGAAAGAGCUGUUUGACUUUCUUCUGUCAAAAAUUCAGUCACUUUCAAACACUGUUAAUUAUUCGGUAUAAUUUGGCAACGUUAAAAAGUUAAAAAAAAAAAUAAACUCCAGAAAACCGCAAGUGCCAAUGGAAUAUUGCAGGCAUUAAAUAUUGGUUUGAAAUGAGACAUGCUAUGAUUUAGUUUUGAGGGUUCCAGCAUAAUUUGCUUCUUGAUCUGAGCUAGUUUAUAAUUUCUGAAAGGAAACUUAUAUAAUUUGAGGGAGUUUGGUUUUGUGAAUUUUUUUGUUUGAUUUUGGGGCUUUUUUGUUUGGUUGGUUUUGGUGGUGGUGGUUUGUUUGUGAAACACUUGAAGGAAUCAAGUGACCACACAGUCACAGCAUCACAUUUAAACUGGCCAAAGUCAAUUGCAAUUGGGAAACUUUUUAGCUUUUAAUAUAAGUAGAAUAAGUUCUACACCCAGGUUUCUUUGUAUAUAAAUAUAAAACUGAGGUUAUAUUCAUAACUUAAUAAUAAUCUAGACAUUUACAUUCAUUUGUAAAUAUGAAUGUUUAUGUGGUUUCUGUGAACUCCUAGCUCUGUUUACAUGCCAAUUACAAGCUGUUCUCUUGUGUUCUUGCACAAAACCUUCUUGUGGUACUAGCUCCACCUUGUUAACUCUGCAGUUGUACUCUGCUAGUUUUCCCAGCAGUGCCCAUUUCACUGUGUAAGAAACAAUGAAAAUGGUCAGAAAAUGAAGAGCAGCUAUGGAAUAUGACACAGAUAAUGCUUUUGUUUAUUCUUUUUUAAUCUCAAGAACAGGGAGGAAUGCCUUCAGAUAAGGAGAGACAGAACUUCCUAUGAUAGCAGGAAGGUUUGAUUCUGCUGUCAUUUAAAAUCCCAUUCUAAAGGUCAUGUUUGUGUUCUAAAUGAAACGUGAGGCUGACCUUUACGCUCUGCCAGACAACAGUAGUAGUGAUGUAAGUGCUUCCUUUGAAUUCUGCAGGUAAGGAGUAGCUACAGUGUGGGGUUUGUGGUGUGGUGGUGCCCGGUGUUUUGCAGGGGAGAAGGGAAAUUAUGUUCUCAGUGACCUGUGUGAACACCAAGGGGGCCUGAAAUUUGCUACUUUUUGUCCCUUGGGUGUCUGUACUUCCAGACUCAACAUUUCUUGAAGUGUGCCUCUACUGAACAUGACAAUAUGGAGAAAGUAAAUGGGACUAAUCUAAUCAGGAGAAAAGGUUGGCUUUUCCUGUCCUCCAUCUUUUGCAUUUCUCCUUCAUCUGCCACACAUAGUCUUAAUGACAGAGAGAUGUGGUUUGAGUUUCAGUUAUUGACAUGAAAGUCUUUAAAAGUAGACUGAAAUAUCAUCUUCCUUUUUAUGGUUAUUAGAUAGCAUCAAUUCCCAUGCUUACUGCAACACCUGUGCUGUUGUUCCUGGAAAUGCAGCCAUACCACAGAGACAGUUUCUUUCUUGGGAGCAAAGCUCAGUCUGAGGAGAAGCUGAGGUUGUCCCUGCCUUAAGCCAGCCUAACAUCUGGCUGCAGCAUUUUGGCUACACCUCCUCCUGCACUCUUACCUGCCCUUUGUACCCUCUCUGGCCCUUGUCUAACCUUACACUGACCUAGGAUAGUUCUCUGUCAGAAAGUGGGGAGGGUUUGCUUUGGGUUUUGUUUUGUUGCUGGUUGGUUAGUUGUUUUUUAAUGAGGUUAGGUCUGUGUUGAGUCAGUGGGCUGAAACAAUUCAAAUUCAGGUUGGAUGAAUGUUGGAGCUGGCUUGGUUUAAGUGGGGACAUCAGCAGGCAGAAGCUGAGCUGUCCUCAGCUUUUAGUAAACUGCUUGUCGUGACAAAGAGCAGCUCAAGCAGAUUGAUCAAUUGAUGUUUAAAACAGAGAGUGAGCCACCUCAAAGUGGACUUCUGAGGGGAAAUGUGAGAGCAUGUCACUUACUUUAUGCUUACUCUGUCUUCUUAGCUCUCUCUGUUGUGCUCAGCCAGUAACUGUUGUAAACAAAACAUCCCUGUUCUGCCCACAGCAUUGGGAAUAUCAAAAAACUAUUUUUUUUUUUAAUGUUAAAAAGGUUAAUAAGAUACAAACCAAGAAAACUUUUUGAGUAAUUCUGACACUUAUUCUUCCAGCUGGGAAGAAGAAAGAACUCUCAUUUUCAAACUUCUGAGGAUAGAUAUGGGUAUAUGUAAUUUUAAAGAUGACAGCAUCCUUUGCUGUCUGAACAGUCUGACAGUUCUCCAUGUGAAGCUUUUCACAAGUUUGCCAUUUGCCUUUUAGUCAAGGCUUUAAAAGUUAAGAGCAACCCCCAUGAAAAUUCAAGAUCAGUGAUAAAAGAGACAUUGUACAGCUGAACAAUGCAUAGCAUUUGUGUGACAGCAAAAACUGGUUUAUCAGGUUCACUGCAGACAAGUAUAGAUAAACUAUUGAAACACUGCAAAACAAAAUCUAUUGG
ensembl:lncRNA